AGCACAUUGUGGAGGGCCGGGGAGGGCCCUUCCUCCGGGAGGAAGAGACAAUGUCCAGGGCCGGGCGCCUGCUGGAGAGCCGCGAGAAUGCACGGCCGGCGGCACGGCACGGAUCGAGGAUUCUCCCUGUCGCACCGUGGGAGCAGGAGAAGACCCCGCGCUGCCAGCGGCAGCAUCGCUCGGCGCCGCAGCCGCCCUCUGCACCUUGGAGCUCGGCUGCUGUUAAAGCAGGGCAGCUCCUCGACGGCAACGCUGCCCACCCCAGCUCAGCCGUGCCCCCAGCACAGCCCCGUGUCGGGCACCCUGCUGCCGCAUCCCCAGGAGGGCUCAGGAUGCUGGGUGGGCAGUGCCUGGGGUCCUGGCACGGCUCUGGAUGGUGCCAGCUACAGACAGGGCCCUGAGGACAGUGGGUUGGUGACCUGCUGCUUGGUUGGAGAUGGAAGCUAUGGGCAGAGGGGCCUUAACAUCCCUCUGCCCAGCCUGUCUCCCACCUCAGCGUCCCCCUCCCCAGCCCAUCUCCCUCCCCACACUGUUUAAGGGCGAUGAAGGCAAUUUUUACAGAGCAACCCAAGUGUAAGGGAUUGUGCUGGAGCCUGCAGCAGGCCAGUGCCAGAGCUGAGGAUGGGAACUGUCACAGUCGUGUUUAUGGCUUGUUAGUGCGGAUGCCCAAUUAUGAUGUUUUCUACUCCAGCCUUAACCACUUCACUGCUAGGGAAAGCAUGCAAGGGAGGAGGGGCAGCUGGGGAAGAUCUCAGGCCGGAGGUGAAGAUGGGUAUUGCUCAGUAAUGGUGUUUGCAUCUCCUCCAGGUCAGUCCAUGGAGCCAGAGGCUGAGGGGUGGGAGCAGAGCCCCAGUGCUCCCACUGCCAGGGAGAGCAGUGGGCUGCAAGCCCCCAGCUGCAGGGGCCUGCUCUGCACUCACUUCCAGCUCAAUGGCUGCUGCUCCUCCCUGGAGCUAAAAUAAAAUCCUGACCAUUUAAGGUGAA